ACUGCCCACCCGUUUCCACGCGAUUACUGCGAUAAAACCAUCCCCACUCAUCCCACCCCACCCCUUAUAAUAAACUCAUGCAUUAAUAUCGAUUCCAGAUUUUGGCACAAGGCCAGCAAUGUCGAGCAAGAAUGUCGACCACAUCGACUCCACUGGGGUUUGUUUUAUCGAUGUCGAAAUGAUGAUGAUGGCAAAGUCGACUUUGGAGGAAUUCGAACUCAGAGCGAAAAGACGGGCGAAAUGCCGAUAAGCAUUUUGUCCGACAUGCUAACGAUGCUGCCAGCUCGCCACCCCCGAACCCUCAUUAAUACGGUAACGACUUUAGUACACACAGCUCUAUUUCAGCUAAUUCUGAUAAUAAUAAUAAUAAUAAUAAUAAUAAUAAUAAUAAUAAUAAUAAUAUUAAUGGCUCUCAUGGCUUCUGAUCUUAACUGAUUGGAAAUGUUAUCAUGUAUAUUGUUUUGUCUUGAUAUAAAAAAUGGGCUACAGCAAAUAUUCUGCUCAAUACCACAGAUUUGCUUGUCAGUUGUUUGACCUUAACCAGUUGAGCAUGUCCCUUAGUGGCUGACGAUAUGUGCAUCUCUGAUUACGAGCAGAAGUAGCGGGGGAGCAUCAUAGCCAUGUGUUGAGAGAGAUUCUUUGGGGUUUGAAUGAUUCACCUCUGGAAACAUGGGUGUUUCAUUCAACAUCCUUAAACAACCCUUAAUCAGGGACCAUUUGAGUGGGAUGGGUUACCCAAACAGAAGAAAAUUCUAUCUGGGCCCCACCCUUCAAGGUCAUGCGCUAUUUAUCUUGUUAUGAGAUCGCCAUGUCGCGCACAUAUGGUUGUGAUGCAUGUGCCUGGUGUACCCUUAUCAGACGGGUAGUCAUGAUGGGUAUACUGGUCUUCGUAUAUUUUACCCCAGUGUCACUUUGAUGACAUGCACUGCUCUCUCACUCAAUAAUAAUAAUAAUAAUAAUAGACAAAUACAUAACAAAAACACCAGGACUUACAAACACAUAUAACAUACAGAAAAUUGCACUACUAGGCACUGCACACAUCCUACGCAGAACAUUUUCCAUACAAUAACCAUCAGAGCAUCACAACAAAUCACAGCACAUACCCAAGGCACACAGAGCUGCGCUCGGUAGUGAAGUGAAAGCACGCAAUAAAAAAUAAAACUACUGAAUAAUAAUAAUAAUAAUAAUAAUAAUAAUAAUAAUAAUAAUAAUAAUAAUAAUAAUAAUAAUAAUAAUAAUAGUAAUAAUGAUAUUAAAACAGAUAUCGAAAGUCUUAUCUGGAAUCCAGUAAUCUGGAAUUACCAGAAAUCCGGGUACUUUAAAAAAAUGAGUAGCUUAGAAUUUCGCGGGCUUUUUUUAUUCGCCAGGUGGCCGCCUUGCUUUGGUUUCUUGUGGCGCAUGCGUCACACGACGCCAGUUCCUGUGUGACUGCUUUAGAAAUGUAUUAAUUUGUAUAUGUUAUACAAUUUUGUUCUUUAUUUUUCCUUGCUUAUUUUAUAAUUCCGGAAAAUCCAGAAAUCCGGACCUCCUUCUGUCAUCAAAGUUGCCGGAUAAGAGGUUCGGUAGCUGUACGACUAUAAGUAACACCAUCACCAUCACCACCAACAACAACAACACUAACGCCACCAACAACAACAACAACCUUACCAUUGAUACCACUAACAAACAACAGAAUGUGUCGCUCUGGAAACCCUGAGGAUUGUCAAAACUUUUCACUGUCAUCUUUUGCUUCUUUCAAUCAUUAGACUGCGGCCAUGCUGCAGCAUCACAUUGAAGAGUUUUAGUCGAGCGAAUCGCCUCCAGUCCUUUUCUUUUUUCUAAAGGUGAACCGAUAGAAUAAAUAUCACAUACUUAUUACGUCGGUUAACUUUUACCGAACGGCUAAGUUACGGGAACAUAAACUAACCAACACUGGUUGUCAAGUGGUGGCGGUGGACAAACACACAUACGCACACACACACACAAUCACACACUGGAAGGCACACACACACAUACACUUAUAUAUAUAUAUAUAUAUAUAUGUAAUAAUAAUAAUAAUAAUAAUAAUAAUAAUAAUAUAUAUAUACCUGAUCCUAGAUGUACCAUUUCCAUAGAGCAACAGUAUGACUAUCAUCACUAUCAUAAUCAUCAUCAUUAUCAACGUCAUCUUCAUCAUCAUCAUCAUCAUCAUCACCACCACCACCACCAUCAUCAUCAUCACCACCACCACCACCACUACCACCAUCAUCAUCAUCACCACCACCAUCAUCAUCACCAUCAUCACCAUCAUCACCAUCCUGAUCAUCAUCAUCAUCACCAUCAUCAUCACCAUCAUCAUCAUCAUCACCAUCAUCACUAUCAUCACCAUCAUCACCAUCAUCAUCAUCAUCACCAUCAUCACCAUCAUCAUCAUCGUCGUCGUCGACGUUGUCAUCAACAUCAUUAUUAUUGUGACUAUCACAAAUAUCAACAACUCUGCUACCAUUUGCAUCAGUGCAUCACCACCCCACACAACCACCACUUCACCACCACUACUCCCACCGUAACAACCAUGAUCACCACCAUGAUCACCACAACCAACACAACCGUUACAACUAUAUUUGCCACCAUCACCACCACCACCACCACCACCACCAACAUCACGACUAAUCACCAUCGCCAGCAUCACUAGCACUACCACCACAACUACAACUGCCGCCACCACCACCGCAACCGCAACCACAACCACAACAGGCGCCGCCACCAUCGCCGCCACCAUCGCCGCCACCACCACUGUUAGCAAUGUGUGAGUUCUGGAGUCCAUUCAUGUUUGCAGCCAACUACAAUGACUCAUUGAUCUGCAAUGAGAUGGGGAGAGUGGGAGGAGGAGAGUGAGAGGAGAGGAAGGAGUGAAGUGAAAGGGAAAAGGAGAGGAGGGAGGAGGAGGAUAAGGAAGCGAAAGAGAGUAAUAAAAGGAGAAUAUAGGAGGUGGGAGGAGGAAGGGGAGCAAAGUGUGAGUGGUGGGGUAAGAGGGGGGAAGUGGUAGGAGAAUCGGAAAAAGUGAAUGGAGAGAAAAGUGUGCGGAACGGGGAGGCGGCGAGACGAACCGAUUAUGUGUGUAGGGAAUAUGCAGUGUGUGUGUGUGAGUGUGAGUGUGUGUGCGAGUGUGCGUUAGUAUGUGUGUGAGUGUGUGUGUGCGUCAGUGUGUGUAUGUGAGUGUGCGUUAGUGUGUGUGUGUGAGUGUGCGAGUGUUUGGCUGAGUGUGUGAGUGUGCGUGUGUGUGUGAGAGACAGAGAGUGUGUCUGUGUGUGACUUUGUGUGUGUGAGUGUGUGUGUGUGUGAGUGUGAUUCUGUGUGUGUGAGUGUGUGUGUGUGUGUGUGUGUGUGUGUGUGUGCGUCAGUGUGUGUGUGGGUGUGAGUGUGCAUUAGUGUGUGUGUGUCAGUGUGCGCGUUUGUGCGAGUGUUUGGCUGAGUGUGUGAGUGUGCGUGUGUGUGUGACAGACAGAGAGUGUGUCUGCGUGAGUGAGUGUGUGUGUGUGACGCUGUGUUAAUGUGCCUCUGUGUGAGUGAGUGUGAUUCUGUGUGUAUGUGAGUGUGCGUGUGUGUGGGAGUAUGUGUGUGCGUGUCAGUAUAUGUUUAUGUAUGUAUAUAUCUUUUGAGCAUUUCAUCCUUUUAAUAGUUGCAGUAAAUGGACAAUUGGCCAUGCUGGAGCAGCACCUUGAAAACAAUCUGGUUAGGAAGCAAGCGACUAACCACACACACUUACCAUACACCUACACACACGUAGCCUGAGAGAGAGAGAGAGAGUGAGAGAGUGAGAGAGGAGCAGGUAGAAAGAGAGAGGUGAGAAACAAGAUAGGGAGAAACAGAGAUCGGGGAGGAGAGAAAAAGAAAGAGAUAAAUGCGGAAGACUUCAGAAGAUAUCACCAUCUGUCUGUUUCUCCAUCUCUCUCUCCUUUCUUUCUCUCUCCCUCCCUCCCUUUCUCUCUCUCUAUUUACAUAUAUCUACGCAAAUAUGAAAUAGAGAAAAGAGUUAUCUAAAUGCAGAGAAGAAAAGAUGUACGCGCGUACGUAUGCAUGUGUAUGCAUGCAUUAUAUAUAUAUAUAUAUAUAUAUAUAUCGUUAUAAUAUAUAUAUAUAUGCAUGCUAUAUAUACAUAUAUGUAUACAUAUAUCGUUGUAAAUGGGUGGAAUGUGUAUGUGUGUGUGUAUGUACAUGAACAAAGAUUUCGCUUUAAUAAAGAAAACAAUAUUUGGCAAAGAGUGUCGCGAAUUCGAAGAUUUCUGUAAAAGUGAAAAGAAAUCAGAAGUAGCGCCAUAAUGUAGUGACAUAAGUACAUCCAUCCAUACAUACAUACAUACAAAUGUAUGUAUGUAUAUAUAUCGUGGCAUCUUAUAUAUAUAUAUAUAUAUAUAUAUAUAUAUAUAUAUCUUGGGCAAUAUAUAUAGUGGAUUUGGUAGACGGAAACUGAAGAAGCCUGUCGUAUAUAUGUAUAUAUAUAUAUAUAUUUAUGUUUGUGUGUUUGUCCCCCUAGCAUUGCUUGACAACCGAUACGUCCCCGUUACUUAGCGGUUCGGCAAAAGAGACCGAUAGAAUAAGUACUGGGCUUACAAAAAAGAAUAAACAAGUAAAAGAGAGUAUAUAUAUAUAUAUAUAUAUAUAUAUAUAUAUAUAUAUAUAUAUGUAUAUAUAUGCAAAUGUGUGUGUGUACAGCAGUUACGAUGAACCACUGGGGUGAAUAAAAAUAAUCAAGUUACACCGUAAUGUGUGUGUGUACUUGUGCGUAUUUGUGUGUGUCGGUAUGUGUCUUCGUGCGGGUGUGAGUCGCUGUGUGCAUGUGCGUUUGCAGGAAUGUGUGUGUGUGUUCCGUUAAAGUGCCUAAUUCUUUAGAAAUACAAACGAACAUAUAAAAUGGAACAAAAGUAGUUCCAAUAUACAAACAGAAUUUACAGAAUUAGGAGAGAUCAAUAUGUCAACAUGUGGAGGAGGGGGAAAGAAAAGAAAAGUAAGAAAGGAAAAAUAAAAGGAAAAACAAAAAAUAGAAAAAUAGAAACCGACGCAAAUACUGGCAUAUGUGAUUAUGGUUUGUGCACAGUUAGUCAGUUGGAGGGGAAAAAUCUCCGGCUGCUUAGCAGAUGCUUCCCAAAAUGUUUGCACUCCUCAAGUAUAUUUGACUCAAUUUUCAAUGCCGAUGCUAUGUAGUAUUUGGAAAGUAAAAAUGUUUUCUCUUCUUAGUUCAUUUGAUGUAAUUAUAGUUCCGUACGACAACAUGAGACAUGAUCCUAUUGGUCCUUUUAUUUGGUCUUUACAGGGGUGAUUUUGGGCCUUUGCUACAUCAAAAGCAUAAAUAAAUAAACAUAGGAAAAUUGAACAAAGAAAAUAUCCAUAGAUUUAGUUCUUUCGCCCUAAAAAUAACUAUAAACAGUAAAGUACCUACUUUAAACUUCCUUGAUGUUACUCUAGACUUAAGCACUAACACAAACCGCUUUUAAAAUCCUAUGAGAAUAUCAUAAGCAUUCUUGUAGGAUCAUAUCGUCCCCUCCAAGUUUUGUCAUAAAAUCAAAAGAAGAAUUUCCAAUCAGUCUUUGUAUAACAUUCAAUCAUUGAGAAUGCUGCCCAUAACCGUAUUAGUUGAUGUUAAUUUCCUUAGUAAGUUUAUCUACAAACCUCACCGGCCCCGUAAACUGUGAUGGUUCAUGCGCAGAAAUUUCUCUAAUUUUAAAUGUAAUAAUUGCAAAACCAUUCCUAACUUUAAAAGACGAACACUCUUUAAAUGGUUAUAAAUAAGAAUUCUUUUUAAAAGGCAUAGACUGAUAUUAAGCUUCAGUUGUAACAUUGACAUAAAAGAAUUGAAACGUAGUCCACCUCAAUGGAAACGAGACUUGAUACUCAUACAGACUUAACAUUCUUGCAACACAACCAUAAUCUGUGAAUAAAAGUUUAAUUAGAUAAAACCGCAGUGUCAUCCGUUGAAUAAUAUGUCGACAAGGCGGCGAGCUGGCAGAAACGUUAGCACGCCGGGCGAAAUGCGUAGCCGUAUUUCGUCUGCCGCUACGUUGUGAGUUCAAAUUCCGCCGAGGUCGACUUUGCCUUUCAUCCUUUCGGGGUCGAUAAAUUAAGUACCAGUUACGCACUGGGGUCGAUGUAAUCGACUUAAUUCGUUUGUCUGUCCUUGUUUGCCCCCUCUGUGUUUAGCCCCUUGUGGGCAGUAAAAAAUAGGUAUUUCGUCUGCCGCUACGUUCUGAGUUCAAAUUCCGCCGACGUCGACUAUGCCUUUCAUCUUUUCGGGGUCGAUAAAUUAAGUACCAGUUACGCACUGAGGUCGAUGUAAUCGACUUAAUUCGUUUGUCUGUCCUUGUUUGUCCCCUCUGUGUUUAGCCCCUUGUGGGUAAUAAAGAAACAAAUAUGUCGACAUGCCUAUAACAUGAAAAUAUUAGAAUCACUAAAUUCUACAAGGAUGUGCUUUAUGCAGCCCAAAAAAGGGGAUCUUCUAAACCUGUAUAACUAUGAACUGUAUUUGGCAUCUGGAUUGAAUAUUUUUGGAAAGAGAUGAUUCUUUUAAAAACCAGUUCGUCUAAUUGGACCAUAAAACCUGCAACAAACUAACUGUACUCGAACUUAUUCAAAUACAGCGAUGUUACAACCUGCUUUUAUCAUAUUUUUCCAAUCAGCGUUGUGGUUGUGGUGGUGGUAGUGCUAGUGAUGUUGGCGAUGGUAUUAGUCGUGAUGGUGGUGGUGGUGGUGGUGGUGGUGGUGGUGGUGGUGGCGGUGGUGGUGGUUGUUGUGGUUGUGGCUUUCGUGGUGGCGGCGGUAGUUGUGGUUGUGGUGGUGGUGGUGGUUGAGGUUGUGGUGGUAGUGCUAGUGAUGUUGGCGAUGGUAUUAGUCGUGAUGGUAGUGGUGGUGGUGGUGGUGGUGGUUGUUGUGGUUGUGGCUUUCGUGGUGGUGGCGGUGGUUGUGGUGGUGGCGGUGGUUGUGGUUGUGGUGGUGGUAGUGCUAGUGAUGUUGACGAUGGUAUUAGUCGUGAUGGUGGUGGUGGUGGUGGUGGUUGUGGUUAUUUUUCAUUUCAUUUCUUCUUCAAUCAUUUGUUCUUCUUUUUCUUCAUUCUUUCUCCUUUUCUUACUAUGAAUCUUUUGAUCUCUCUCAGAUCCAUACCAUUUCCAUCCCUCCCGCCCACCUAUAUUCUUGCUGAUUUCUUUUUUCUCUUUUUUAAUAUUCUAUUCUGUGUGUUUCAAGGAAAUAAGAAAUUUAACAGAAGCUAUUUAUUUAACAGGUUUUGUCAAAAUAUGCUUCAAUAAACAUCGCAGCCUGAAGAUUUGCAAUUAUACAAUUAUGGCAACAUAUUUUCAGUAAUCACGAUAGGAUAUUUUUAGCUUGUACUUCUUUAUAUACGUUACUCUACACAUAGCGUAAAGAAGAUAUUGAUUUAAAGUUUUGGCACAAGGCCAGCAAUUUCGUGGUGAUGGGUUAAAUCGAUUACAUCGACCUUAGGACUCAGCUGUUAUUUUAUCAAUCCAGAAAGGAUGAAAUGCAAAGUGGACCGCCGGGGGAUCAGAACUGAGAACGUGAAGACAGACGAACUGCCACUAUAAAUUUUACCUGGGGUGCUAACGAUUCUGCCAGAGGCCACAAAGGUUUAUCACGUGGAGCUCAAUAUAAAAAAACAGGUGGCCUUUAUAUCGAUUAAUGGAAGACACUACAAUAUUAAAUGAAAUAACGAAGGAUAUAUAAAUAGAAGUUAGAUAGAUGAAUAAUAAUUAAUUGGAAUCUCCAAGAACAGGGCAGUCCAUUUAGGGUAAUUCACGGGAAAACCUACGCAAAAGACCCGGGUUACCCUGCCAUCCCCACGGAAUGAGAAGUACACUCUUCUAGUUUCUUUCCUCCUAUUUAGAAAAGCAUACGCAGAGUCGACCCAUUCAGUCUCAGCAGUGUUGCCACUUUUGUCCACCUUUUGACAAAUCCAGUAGGAGGCAGCACAUACCUCUCUAUCCUAACCUUCCUUGGUCAGACAGGAAAGUAACAAUCUUCAAACCUUUCAAACUCGUCCACCACAAAAUCUCUUUUUCUCACAGUCACUAAGCAGUGUAAGAUCUGCCUUCCAUCUCUGUUAAUAGAAGGUAGUGCCUCGAUCUUCCCUAUGGACUCGACAGACAGUGGAUUCGUUUUACAUGAGACAGCAGCAGCUCAACGCAAGCCCACAAGUCUCUAAUACAAGGACGCUGAGUGUUUGCAUGCAGGACGGUUUCGUCGCCCUGCAUGCUUCCCGUGGAGAUUCGGCUGUCAGCACUUUCAUGCCUAAAGAGUUUCUCUCGAGCAGGCAAUGAUCUCUGCAGCACUUCCACGCAAACAAAUUGCCCAUGAACUUCGACCCGAAAGUCCUCCAGAAGAGACCACUUGGACUGUUUUUUCACCACUAAUUGGUUUAGCUACACUUUCAUUACACGGCAUUUGAUGCAUGAAAGUGUCUGGUGUUGCCGCCCUCAUUCACGUUUCUUGCCGCGAGGUAGGUCCAUGCAAAAAUCUUGACAAUAUGAAAACCAGUUUUGUUUUGAAGACACCAACCUCACCUUCAUGCAUGUUUCUUGGUCAUUUGGAGAAUAUUUUGAAGGGCUGAGGGCCCUUGAAACCCAAGCUCUUGAAGUAUUUGCUGUUGUAUCUUCAGGGGUGAUGUUAGAAUCUUUGACAUUAUGCAGCGGCGUCUCGUUCAGCUGUAUUAAUAUGUAUAAUUAUAUAAUUAUAAAUGUUUAUACGUACACACAGACAGACAAAAGUUAACAAGGCGGCAGAAGCUUAACACCAAUCCAGAGUACUUUUGAAUGACGCAUCAUAUCCCUCUGGCAACAUCUUUCAACCGCCAAGUGUCGAAGUGCAUCCCUUGACUAAGUUAGGAUGCAUGAGGCUGAUAAAAUCCUAAGACUUUGAAGCUAGCUUCACGGGCAACAUUCCAUGUCUAAUAACCUUAAAUAGAUGCCCGAAGAAGUCACACGACUCUACCGCAAUAUAUCAUCAGAUAAAAGAAUGAGCGUAUAUUAGCAGAAGACCAUGCAUGGAUAUGUUAGUAGAAAGCUCCGAGAUGAUUGUAAUAUUGAUCAUCAAAGCAGUCUAUCAUGGACCAACAAAUAGAUUACUAAUUCACACUUUGAAGGGUUUGCGUUUGCAAUCCAGGAACAGGAAAAUAUCAAACAAAAAUCUGAUGCACAAAAGGGACAGGGAUGCAGGAAAAGCAGCAUUGUGUAACAACUGUUGUCCUAAAGAGUUAUGUAUUAUCUACCGAUGUUGUAGCUGGGACCCUAUAUAAUGAAAUCCGUUGGAAGGGUAACCCCGAGGACAAACAAAUAAGAAAGCACAGUGUGGUAGAAGCGAUAGCCACUCAUUAUAAAAAGGAAUACAGGUGGAAUGUACCAGUGAAGACCUCAGUGAAAUGAAAGCAAAACGGACCUGGUAUAAUGAUUUGGGAUAGAGAAGAGAAACUGUGCACAGUUGUGGAAAUUAGCUGCCCAGUGGAUGUCAACAUAAAGCUGAAGAUCAGAGAAAAAGAGAACACCUACGCUGAACUAUUUAGAAAUCUGCAUUUACUCUAUCUAGAUUUUAAGUUAAGGUUUAUACCUGUAAUUAUUGGAACACUCGGAUAUGUAACACACGGCCUAAAUACCAUUGUUGAGGAACUAGGCUUCUCAAAACCAGAAAGGAGAAAGCUGAUUCAAAGACUACAGAUCCGAGUUAUUACUGGAACUGGAAAAGUUUGUAGAACUUAGCGGAAGUUUAUCAUUUAAGUAUAUAUAUAAGCAUGACUAGAUAUGCAAGUAUAGGCAUCAGAAGUUUGUAUAUCUAUAUACAGGAAAGAGUGUAUAUACUUCUUCCCUGCCAAAAAGAAAAAUGAAAAUUGUAAUCCUGGCCUUUCUGGUUUUAAUCUCAACGACUUGGUGUCUUGAUCAUCUUUUUCAUAAGUUAUUCACAUGAUGACGCGCAAGUACAUAGCUAUUGUCAGGUUAUAUUUAUGUAAUAUUUAUAUAAUGAUAUGUAUAACAUGGAAACGCAGCCACUG
rnacentral:lncRNA from 1 species